AUUAUUGUCCUUUUUAUAAAUUUUCUUCUUAAAAAUCUUAUUAUGGUAAGGAUAAUGUAUUUGUUCCCUUCAGGUAUCUGCCACUGCAGCUGACGUUGAGACAACUCUCAGUCUUCCUGCAAGUCCUCGCCUGAUACCUGUUUCAAGUGCAACAAGGCAAGUCACAAUUAAGGGUUGGAUGAUCACCUUUAAGGGCUCUGAGGACAUCACACCAACAUUUGCAAUUGGACUUGCUGCUAUGUUUGCAACCUACUACAUUUUCAGCCUUCAGUAUCAAGAUGAGACAGCCUGCCUUCUGGAAUUCAUUCAGAGGCACUUCAUUGAUAUAAAUCAAGAGAGAGGAACAAAUGCCAAAAUCAUCAGACAAGAUUGUCUCUAAGAUAUAAGGUGUGAUCGUCCAGAAGUCGUCUUCUGCAGUUAAAUACACACGUGGCCAUGCUACUGAAGAAUCUCCUUGACUUUUUAAUGGAACUUCAUAUAGAUCGUGGCAGCACUGGAAUAAUGCUGCAGAGAGGAACAGCGGCUACUAAAGUGAUGAUCGUCUCUUCUGGAUCCACAAGAACUAAGAUGUAAAAACACAAACCUACCUCACAGGACAAUUUUAAGAGGUAACCUGCAAGUCUAAGCUUGCAGUGGCACAUGUGCCUAUACGGUUUCAUCCUGAAUGUUUUUAUGCUUAUUAUUGAUACAUCCUGACAAAAUGUUCUACUGUACUAUAAUAGUUUCAAAAUGGCCUUAGGUAUGUUUUCAAAAAGUAAACUAUAUGUUAUGCCCUUCACAUUUGGUUAGGAUUAGGGGCAGUCUCUGACGAGCAAUUUAAGAACGUACGUUUAUUGCCAUAGUCUAAAGCAAGAAACUACUGUUUCUGUUUACUACUAGAAAGCUUUUUCAGCAUUG